AUUGAACGCUGGCGGCAUGCUUUACACAUGCAAGUCGAACGGUAACAGCACUUCGGUGGCUGACGAGUGGCGAACGGGUGAGUAAUACAUCGGAACGUGCCUAGUAGUGGGGGAUAACUACUCGAAAGAGUAGCUAAUACCGCAUGAGAUCUAAGGAUGAAAGCAGGGGACCUUCGGGCCUUGCGCUACUAGAGCGGCUGAUGGCAGAUUAGGUAGUUGGUGGGAUAAAAGCUUACCAAGCCGACGAUCUGUAGCUGGUCUGAGAGGACGACCAGCCACACUGGGACUGAGACACGGCCCAGACUCCUACGGGAGGCAGCAGUGGGGAAUGUUGGACAAUGGGCGCAAGCCUGAUCCAGCAAUGCCGCGUGCAGGAUGAAGGCCUUCGGGUUGUAAACUGCUUUUGUACGGAACGAAAAGCCCUCUUCUAAUACAGGAGGGUCAUGACGGUACCGUAAGAAUAAGCACCGGCUAACUACGUG
rnacentral:rRNA from 1 species